AGCCGCAAUAUACGUGCCGUCACUAGAUGGCGCUAAACCUCCAUUGUGCCAAACCGAUCUCUUUGUUUAGAUCAAGCUGUGUUGUGAGCAUGUGCAGGGAGCAAAAGCCCGCCAAAGUCACUAGCCCAUCCCCGGGGUGUAUGAGAUCGUGGGUAAAGCUGCAAGUCGUAUAUAGACACGUCACACCAGGGGGUAUUUAAGCCAUACAUGUUUCUGAGCCUUCUUUGUCUACCUCAUCGUUAUGAAAUAAAGAUUAACUACAGAAGGAUCUUUUGUGCCGUGCAUGUGUUUCGCUGGCGAAGAACAAUAGCAUGGGACCAAUUGGUGAUGAAACCCGGGAAUCGCCUCACCACCGCCCAGCGCCAGAGAGGGGCCCUCCAUCCAAGCGGAGAAGAUCCAGAACCGUAGUGGGAAAAAGGAAGAAGACAAUCCAUUCUGGGUGCCAGAACGACUGACACGAAGAAUUCUGACACCUGAAAAUCACUCCCGGAUGGAUCCCUUGGAAACUACCUCUAGCCCUCAUGCUGCCUCUGUUGAUUUGGGUUCCUAGUAUAUUUGGAGAGUAUAGAUGGGCAAUUCUGUCUGCCUUCCCAAAGCCCAUGCCUGUCCUUCAUGAUGUAGCUGUUUUCCCCAAAUUCUUUACAACCAAUAAAAGUUUGGAUCUGCCAUACUUACCAUAUGAUCCUAUCUGGGAACCACUGGGGGGAAAACGCUCUAUAAGGGAACGAGGCUCUCUCUGUUUCCAAAUUAAUGAAUUGGGAGAUUGUAUCAGACUCACUGGCCAAGCUUUGGGGAGGUUUUAUGAGCACCGAGGAGGUUGAGUGAGCACAACCAAAGAUAUUUCCAACGCAGAUAUAACCUUUACAAAUCGGACCUUCUGGCAGGAGGCAAUUUGGGUUAAUGGUACAUUUCUACCACCUAACUUUUCAGACAAAGAACGUCCCCACCAACCAAAAAUAGCCCCUCAUGGUAGAUUGGAAGAUGAAGGGCUGAUCCUGCCUUGGUCUGAUGGUCAAUCCUCCAUCACUCGUUGGGCAGAUCAGAGUAAAACCUUUUCCUUUUCUUCCAACAUGAUGGCUGAACCAGAGAAGGAAUUUGUUAUGAAAAAGGGACUUUUCAUACAGGACUUUAUAAUGCAUCCUUUUCAUAAAUGGGUACUUUGUGGGAUUAAUGGAAGCUGUACAGAUCUUAAUCCUUUGGUUUUCCUCCAAGGAGGAGCUGCUGGAAAAGUGAUUUUUAAUGGUAUUUCAAAAUUCGUUCAGUGUCAUCUAGUUCAGUUACCUGAUGGAACCACUUCUCAAAAUUCUACUACUGAAAUCACUGGAUUUAAUAAGACCCUGGUAAAUCAGACUAGUUAUUCACCUACUCCAGUAUGUGUGUACACCCCCCCCCCUUUUUUUUUAUUCUUUCUAACGGUUCCUUUGAAUCCUGUACUAAUGAAACCUGCGGGAUGUCACAAUGCUGGAACCUUGAUUGGGCCAGCCGUGCAAUGCUUUCCAAGAUUCCAUGAUGGAUUCCUGGCCCCGUGGAGACCCCUUCCACCGUAUCUUUGUUCAGGCAAAAGCAAGACUUUGGUAUCACUGCAGCUAUGGCUGCUGGAUUUGCUAUGGCAACAUCAGUCCAGUCAAGCACGACUAUCGAGCAGUUGUCCUCCUCUGUGGCAAAUGUGAUCGAUCAACAUUCAGUGCUCAGUGCCCAAUUAAAAGGUGGGCUAAUGAUAGUGAACCAGCGCAUUGAUCUGGUGGAG